UAAAGGGAGGAAUCCGCUUACAGAGGGGCCUGCGGCGCAUUAGCUAGUUGGUAAGGUAAAGGCUUACCAAGGCGAUGAUGCGUAGCCGGACUGAGAGGUUGAACGGCCACAAUGGAACUGAGACACGGUCCAUACUCCUACGGGAGGCAGCAGUAGGGAAUUUUCGGCAAUGGGGGGAACCCUGACCGAGCAACGCCGCGUGAACGAAGAAGUUAUUCGUAAUGUAAAGUUCUUUUAUUUGCGAAGAAGAAAGUGACGGUAGCAAAUGAAUAAGCUCCGGCUAACUACGUGCCAGCAGCCGCGGUAAUACGUAGGGAGCGAGCGUUAUCCGGAAUUAUUGGGCGUAAAGGGUGCGUAGAUGGCACAAAAAGUCUUGUGUAAAAAUGCUAGGCUCAACCUAGUAGAGCAAAAGAUACUUUUGAGCUAGAGUAUGGCAGAGGCAAGUGGAACUACAUGUGUAGCGGUAAAAUGCGUAAAUAUAUGUAAGAACACCAGUGGCGAAGGCGGCUUGCUGGGCCGAUACUGACAUUGAGGCACGAAAGCGUGGGGAGCAAACAGGAUUAGAUACCCUGGUAGUCCACGCCCUAAACGAUGAGUACUAAGUGU
rnacentral:rRNA from 1 species